UGGCGGUGCUGGGGUUCCACUAUCUAUGCCAUACAAUAUGUCAAGAGGCUAUGGAUCACUAGUUCCAAUGCGUCAUGAUUAUGGGCCAUCUAUGGGCAUGGGACCUCCUAGCCCAUAUGGACUAAUAUCUGCAUAUGGUCCACCUGGAGCCAUGGGAGGCAUGGGUUAUGGCCCUGGUCUUGCUAUGAACCAAUAUGGAUAUGGGUACCGUGGAUCUCCACUGCCGGUUACUGGAUCAUGGACUCCUGA
rnacentral:misc_RNA from 1 species